rnacentral:tRNA from 1 species
CGGGGUGUAGCGCAGUUGGCUAGCGUACCUGCUUUGGGAGCAGGGGGUCCCUGGUUCGAGUCCAGGUACCCCGAC